GGUGUGGCCCAAGUGAUAGAGCACUCACCUAGCAAGUGUGAGGCCCUGGGUUCAAUCCCCAGUAGUACCA
rnacentral:tRNA from 1 species